CCUACGGGUGGCAGCAGUGGGGAAUAUUGCACAAUGGGGGAAACCCUGAUGCAGCGACGCCGCGUGAGCGAUGAAGUAUUUCGGUAUGUACAGCUCUAUCAGCAGGGCAGAAAAUGACGGUACCUGACUAAGAAGCCCCGGCUAACUACGUGCCAGCAGCCGCGGUAAUACGUAGGGGGCCAGCGUUAUCCGGAUUUACUGGGUGUAAAGGGAGCGUCGACGGCGGUGCAAGCCAGAUGUGAAAGCCUGGGGCCCAACCCCGGGACUGCAUUUGGAACUGGGCUGCUAGAGUGUCGGAGAGGCAGGCGGAAUUCCUAGUGUAGCGGUGAAAUGCGUAGAUAUGAGGAGGAACACCAGUGGCGAAGGCGGCCUGCUGGACGAUGACUGACGUUGAGGCUCGAAAGCGUGGGGAGCAAACAGGAGUAGAUACCCCUGUAGUC
rnacentral:rRNA from 1 species